AACGAACGCUGGCGGCAGGCUUAACACAUGCAAGUCGAACGCACCUUCGGGUGAGUGGCAGACGGGUGAGUAACGCGUGGGAACCUUCCCUGUGGUACGGAAUAGCUCCGGGAAACUGGAAUUAAUACCGUAUACGCCCUUUUGGGGAAAGAUUUAUCGCCAUAGGAUGGGCCCGCGUCGGAUUAGCUUGUUGGUAGGGUAAUGGCCUACUAAGGCAACGAUCCGUAGCUGGUCUUAGAGGAUGAUCAGCCACACUGGGACUGAGACACGGCCCAGACUCCUACGGGAGGCAGCAGUGGGGAAUAUUGGACAAUGGGCGAAAGCCUGAUCCAGCCAUGCCGCGUGAGUGACGAAGGCCUUAGGGUUGUAAAACUCUUUUGGCGGGGACGAUAAUGACGGUACCCGCAGAAUAAGCCCCGGCUAACUUCGUG
rnacentral:rRNA from 1 species